AGAUAUGAGAAGCCCAGCGCUCUGUCUGCUUUUCGAAAUGGCUUUUGCUGCAGAUGGGAAAAGCCAUCCCAGCUCUGAUUUGGCAGGUCCCGAGGUCAAAUCUUAGAGAGCUGGCACCUAGAAACUCAAAGGCAAGGAGGAGCAGGUGGCUUUGGAAGAGUAAAUGACACUGAAGGUCCCUGCUGAGCAAGGUAUAAGAAGACAGGUAAAGAAACAUCACUGUUAUUGGACCAUGCUUUUUCUCUGUGGCAAAAUAGUACCGAGGCAACCACUGGGACCUUCUGGAAACAGACCACAAGUGAGAGCAACUGCUUGGAUCACACUCUCAGCUCCUGGCUGACCAGCAUUUCCUUUCAUAUACCCUACACAUCUGGGCCCCCGCAGAAAGUACUAGAAAGGACUUGUUCGUGUGACGGCAGAUCCAAGCACCAUCUUCAUGGGGCCAGGUGUCCCAUCUCUUCUAGGAGACAUCCUAAGAAUCACUUUCUUCAGUGACUACUGGGCGCUAACUACCCUGAGAAAUCUGGACAUCCAGUACAGAAGGGAUUUGUGACCCGUGAAACCACCACCACUGGAACCACCGAUGAACCACAGGACUGCGCGGAAGAUUCAGGUGCACGUCUUUUCAUAAUGCCAAUGGUGAGCAUUGUCAAGAUCCAUUCAUACAUCAGGGGCUGCAAAAUGAUGAUAUUCUAUCAUGCCUUCCUUAUUUGCUAGCUGAAUGCUUCUACAAAAAGAAACUUCUCCUCAUCAACUAUUUGGUUACCCUUAAUGGCAGCGUCCAUAUAUACUCCAGUUGCUGAGGCCUCCAUGGACUGCGAACCGUGCAGACAGUCGCCGUCAUUACGUUGCAGAGGUGGGACGGGGGAGAGAGGUUCGCUGCUGCUUCAAGGCCCGGGCCCAGCCAGUGGGUGGCCGUUGAGAGGACGCUGGGGGACACAGCCCUGCGCCUGUCCCCAGGCCCCUCAGCUCCCCUGCUGGCCCCAAGGCAGGAGGACCUGGAGGGCCCAGGGAAGAAGGCCCGAUCUUCCUCUCAACUGCACUCUCUGCCAUGGGGACCACUGCGAGGCUGACUGCCAAGUGGUAUUUUCGUAAAGCUUAGUUGCAAUGUAGAAUGUGAAACCAUCACAUUCAACUUUUCAUAAUUCUGUUACAGUAAACAGUGGUCUAUUUUACC